rnacentral:rRNA from 1 species
GAUGAACGCUGGCGGCGUGCCUAAUACAUGCAAGUCGAGCGAACAGACGAGGAGCUUGCUCCUCUGACGUUAGCGGCGGACGGGUGAGUAACACGUGGAUAACCUACCUAUAAGACUGGGAUAACUUCGGGAAACCGGAGCUAAUACCGGAUAAUAUAUUGAACCGCAUGGUUCAAUAGUGAAAGACGGUUUUGCUGUCACUUAUAGAUGGAUCCGCGCCGCAUUAGCUAGUUGGUAAGGUAACGGCUUACCAAGGCGACGAUGCGUAGCCGACCUGAGAGGGUGAUCGGCCACACUGGAACUGAGACACGGUCCAGACUCCUACGGGAGGCAGCAGUAGGGAAUCUUCCGCAAUGGGCGAAAGCCUGACGGAGCAACGCCGCGUGAGUGAUGAAGGUCUUCGGAUCGUAAAACUCUGUUAUUAGGGAAGAACAAAUGUGUAAGUAACUAUGCACGUCUUGACGGUACCUAAUCAGAAAGCCACGGCUCCCUACGUG